rnacentral:rRNA from 1 species
GGCAUACUUAGUACGGCGAGUGAAGCGGUAAAAGCUCAAAUUUGAAAUCUGGUACUUUCAGUGCCCGAGUUGUAAUUUGUAGAAUUUGUCUUUGAUUAGGUCCUUGUCUAUGUUCCUUGGAACAGGACGUCAUAGAGGGUGAGAAUCCCGUUUGGCGAGGAUACCUUUUCUCUGUAAGACUUUUUCGAAGAGUCGAGUUGUUUGGGAAUGCAGCUCAAAGUGGGUGGUAAAUUCCAUCUAAAGCUAAAUAUUGGCGAGAGACCGAUAGCGAACAAGUACAGUGAUGGAAAGAUGAAAAGAACUUUGAAAAGAGAGUGAAAAAGUACGUGAAAUUGUUGAAAGGGAAGGGCAUUUGAUCAGACAUGGUGUUUUUUGCAUGCACUCGCCUCUCGUGGGCUUGGGCCUCUCAAAAAUUUCACUGGGCCAACAUCAAUUCUGGCAGUAGGAUAAAUCAUUAAGAAUGUAGCUACCUCGGUAGUGUUAUAGCUUAUUGGAAUACUGCUAGCUGGGAUUGAGGACUGCGCUUCGGCAAGGAUGUUGGCAUAAUGGUUAAAUGCCGCCCGUCUU